GAUAAUUCUUAAGCAUAGGAUUAGUUCUGGAUUUGCAUUCAGUGGCAUCUGUUAACUCUGUCUGUACAGAUGAACUCAAUGAAAACAAUGUUCUCAAGCUGUAUAACUGUAUAUUUUUCCUUUCUUUUGACAAAAAGAAUGGGGGGGAAAAGGAAUGAAAAGGAAAAGACGAAUUGUUUUGCUCAGAACUAAUCCUAUGCUUAAGAAUUAUC
rnacentral:misc_RNA from 1 species